AGUGAACGCUGGCGGUAGGCCUAACACAUGCCAGUCGAACGGCAGCACAGUAAGAGCUUGCUCUUACGGGUGGCGAGUGGCGGACGGGUGAGGAAUACAUCGGAAUCUACUUUUUCGUGGGGGAUAACGUAGGGAAACUUACGCUAAUACCGCAUACGACCUACGGGUGAAAGCAGGGGAUCUUCGGACCUUGCGCGAUUGACUGAGCCGAUGUCGGAUUAGCUAGUUGGCGGGGUAAAGGCCCACCAAGGCGACGAUCCGUAGCUGGUCUGAGAGUAUGGUAGGCCGCCUGGGAAGGGGAACACCGUCAAGAGUCCUAAGGGAGGCAGCAGAGGGGAAUAUUGGACAAUGGUCGCAAGCAUGAUCCAGCCAUACCGAGUGGGUGACGAAGGCCUUCGGGUUGUAAAGCCCUUUUGUUGGGAAAGAAAAGCAGCAGGUUAAUACCCCGCUGUUCUGACGGUACCCAAAGAAUAAGCACCGGCUAACUUCGUG
rnacentral:rRNA from 1 species